AAAAAAAAGAAAAUAAUCAGUAUGAAAGCAGUCAACUCCUGAAAGAAGGGUCCACAGAGGUGGUAGAAGCUCUGUUCUUGGGGAUAUUCAGACUAAGAGAACAAGGCCCUGAGCAGCCUCAGGAAAAUGUGAAGCUGGUCUUACUUUGAGCAGGAGGUGAAAUUAGACAUUUCUAGGAGACUCUUCUAACUUAAGUUUCUCUCUGAAUGUGCUGCAGCAGAGGGGCAGUCUGACAGAAUGACCUCUGAUACAGAAGCACGGAUGAAGCAAAGGAGUGUCACUGAAUUCCUCCAUGAGGAAGAAAAGGCACCCGUUGAUGUUCAUCGAUGCUUGCUGAAUGUUUAUGGAGACCAAACAAUGGAUGUGAGCACAGUGAGGUGGUGGCUGAUGAUUCAACAGUGGCAAUAGUGACAAUUUGACUCUACCAAACAUUACUGAAUAAUCUUAAGAGAAAGUCCAAACAUAUCCAGAAAUCUGAAAAUAAGAUAGAGACACCAAGUAUGACCUGGGAAAAGAGAUCAGUAUUAGAGAGCAUCCAAGAUGGAAUUUGUUAAUUUUCAUGGCAUAAUUGAACAAAAAGUAAAGCCAUUGAUUUCAAAAAUGAUCUGCCAUUUUGGAUAUGUGCGUUUCAAGUGAUUCUUAAUUAAGAUACCAUUUUCAGAGUGAAAGAUCCCAACUCACAUUAGAUAGAGAGUGGGAACUCAGGUCUGGAAUAGUCUUGGAGUUGGAUCUUCUACAUCUAAGAAGAGAAUAAUAGAAAAUGUGCCAUCAGAAAAAAAAAAUAAAAAAAUCCAGCAGUAGACCCAUUACCCUUCUUAAGAGUUCCUAAAAUUCCAGAAUGUUCACGGAGCUCAGUGGCAGAACUUGUUUCAAUUAUGUUUAUAUGUUUACAUGCAUAUAAAGCAUAGAAUUUCAUACAACAUAGGACAACACAGAAUUUCAUUUGUAUUUUAUGGUAUUUGGAAAUUGAGAUCUUCUUACCCUAAAUGUGUUCAUUAUGGAAAAGGUGAACAUAUGCAUUACAAAAAAUAGAGAGAGAGGGAGACAUUCAGUUCCAUUCAUUCAUAGUUUACACUUUCUAUUCUGUGGAAUCAUCAGAAUCCUUAGUAGCAACUAAUGCUACUCAGAUGAUAAUGAUGCAUUGGUUCCUGUUCUCCGAAAAACACAACAGGGCAUUCCUCAAUAUUUUCAUUUCUAUUUCAAACACUUCAUGAAGCAUCAAGCUCUGUUUUCCAAUGUAGACAUCUCUGUGAUUAAAAGCAAAUGGUUCUUUGAGUCAGGUUUGUCUGGUUGAGAGCUAUUUCCUAUGCCCAAGAAAAUAGGGCUGUCAAAAUGUGACCUUUCCCCAUCUCUGACAUGUUUAUGUUGGCAAGGUCACAGAGAAAGAAAUAAAUUGUCUGGACUGAAUAAAAACAAUCAGGACAUUUAAAUCACAAGCAGACUGUGACCCAGUAACACAGCAAUAGAAAUAUCUCAAAGCGCUGCCCACAUUUUUCAAAUGAGAUGCUAUUAUG
ensembl:lncRNA